CAGCCUCUCGUGUUAUUUCGCAACACGAAUCAGGGAACAAGUGAAUGGUUUUCAAGGUUUUAAAGAAAUAAUUCCGUGAUGCAACAUCUAUAUAUACGAGCAUGAUACCCCUCCUAACUAUGUUUCUAAAAUGAGUUUUAGCAAUUUAAAGAAAAUCUAAGACCCAAUUCUAUUCCAUGCUGUCAAUAUAUUGCACAAAAAUCCGAAACUUCAUGAAAACAUGACUUUUAAUAAGUCGAGAAUAACGUAUAACACUUCACAAACGAGUUUCAACAAAAUAAAACCCCUAAUACAUAAUUGGGAAAAGGCCAGUACCUCUACUUUGUUAAAUUGUUCACCGUUAUACUUAGUUCCCUACCGUUAGCAAAGUAGAUAAAAUCAUCCCUAACCCUAACAGAUCUCCAACGUGGUAAUGGACCCCUCAAUUAAUUUGCCAACUGGACAAAUAUCAACCCAAAUUAAAAGACCCAUGUCCGACCCAACUAUCACAAAUGAAUGGGUCAAAAUCUGGAAACAAAUCGACGAUGACAAUGAAGAGGUCGUCGAAUCAGUGCCGUCGGAGAAAUUGCAAGACUCGCUGCCUGACGAUUGCUCACUCCUCUUCGUUCCUCCACGGCUAAGCUGCCGCAGUCGCCGCCAUCGACCGCUCUCUUUCUCUUCCAUCAAAUCAUGAGAACGAGAGCUCUCUUCUUUUUCUUUUCUGUUUCAGGGACUCAAAUGGUUUAAUGUGCACACAUAAGCUAAUUUUUCUACAUAUUUUGGAUUUUAUUUGUGGUUGUUAUUGAUUGAUGCUUGACUAGAUUAGUAUGGUUGAGGAGACCCACAAAUAUUUGGAGGGGAAGGUUAGAAAGAGGGAUCCAUCCCCGAGUUAUCUCUUUCCAUGUUCUAUAUCUUUGUCCUGUGGAAACAAAUGAUUAUCAGGACAUGAAAAAAGGGAUAAGAAAAAGAAACAAGAUUUGUCUGUUUCAUUUUGUCAUGAAAAUCCUUUUUUUUUCUACUGAUGAAAUGUUAUUCAAUGUGUAUUUAGUUUUUAUUUUAUUAUGGAAUCUUCUAAAUUUUUCAAAUUGAUGUUAAGUUUUCUGCUCACAAUCUUUUUGAUAAAAUUUUCAGUUGGUUACCUUAUCAUGAAACAUGAUUUCCCAGCCAUAAAUGAAAAAGAAUAAAGAAGGAAGAACAAGAUCAAGAACUGGAAAAGAAGAAACGAGGAAGAAGAAAAGUUGUGGUUGAAUACUUGAAUUAAGAGAGGAGGUGACCCAUAAGGUGGCUGGAUAGUUGGGUCAAAGAAAUGGGCAUAUGUCUUUUAAAAUUUGGGUUGAUAUUUUUCUAGUUGGCAG
rnacentral:lncRNA from 1 species